UACGGAGGGUGCAAACGUUGCUCGGAAUCAUUGGGCGUAAAGCGCACGUAGGCGGUCUGUUAAGUCGGGUGUGAAAGCCCAGGGCUCAACCCUGGAAGUGCACUCGAAACUGGCAGGCUUGAAUAUGGAAGAGGGUCGCGGAAUUCCCGGUGUAGAGGUGAAAUUCGUAGAUAUCGGGAGGAACACCAGUGGCGAAGGCGGCGACCUGGGCCAAUAUUGACGCUGAGGUGCGAAAGCGUGGGGAGCAAACAGG
rnacentral:rRNA from 1 species